AGGUCAUUGCAAAUGCGUUUCUUUUCUAGGGCAGGAAAUGGAAGCUCUUGGGAAGGCGGAAGUUGCACGUGCUCUCACAGUCAACUGUGCUGGAAUAGGAGGCCAGGAACCACCUCUGUUGGAGGAGGAGGACCCAUCAGGCAUCCCUUCAAGAAUGCCAAGGUCCACAGCAAACGCUUCCCUUCUAUGGGCACAGGAGGGCUGUGGGAGCCCAGAAAAUGUGCUUCUGGCCAGAGACAUGAAACAACCAUUUCAACCAGCUUGAACAAAAAAGAGAAGCCAAGAUGGGGCUGAGAAACCAAUGCAGCCAGGCCCAGGGAUCCAGGACUCAGGGACCAGGUGCUGCCGGAUGUUUGCUCUGACUCGUGUUGCUGCUGUCUUCUCUGUGCCUCAACUCUGUCCUCUGUCACUGCAGGCAGCUUCCUCCCAAGGUGGUGAGUAGGGUUGCUGCCAGCCCUGGUGAAUGACAUCUUAGCUUCUACACUGGAGAUACACUGACCCCCUUUCUUGGUUCCAGGAUGAAAAAGUCUGGGGAGGACUUUGACUCUUACCCACCCCCUGGAAAAAUCAACUGGGGAGGUGGAAUUCGUGGAAGAACAUGGCAGCUCCUGAGGUGGAUGUGUGGGUUUGAAGAACACACCAUUCAUUCAUUCAUUCAUGUGGCACAUUAUUAUUAUUAUCAUUAUUAUUUUGAUGGAGUUUCGCUGUGUCGCCCAGGCUGGAGUGCCGUGGCACGAUCUCGGCUCACUCAUGCAGCACAUUUUUAUUGAGCAAAACUGAGAGGCUGAGUGAGGGACCAAAGUCUUCACUGAUGAGGGAGAGGUGCCCAGAGAUCGGCAGAUGAAGGUGAAGAGAAAAGGUAGAGGACACCAAGGGCCCUGCCAAGCAGCAGAAGUAGGAGGAAUUGAGGAGCUUCUUCCAGAAUGAAUCAGCUGCACUUUUUUUUUUUUUUUUUUUGUUGCCCAGGCUGGAGUGCAGUGGUGCGAUCUUGGCUCACUGGUGACCAACCUCUGGCUCCUGGCUCAAGCAAUCUUCCUGCCUCAGCUUCCUGAGUAGUUGGUGUUACAGGCACGUACCACCACGUCUGGCUACUUUUUGUGUUUUUAGUAGAGAUGGGGUUUCGCCAUGUCGUCCAGGCUGAUCUUGAACUCCUGAGCUCAAGUGAUCAGCCCGCCUCGGCCUCCCAAAGUACUGGGAUUUUAGGCAUGAGCUACCGGGUGCAGCCCAAUUGCUCUUUUGAAAGGAAGUCCUGCUAUGAAAAAAGUAGCAGUUGAACUAAAUCGUGACUUGAAUGAUGUAGCUGCUUUAUAUCCUGGCUCAAGCUCCUGACCUUGUUGUAAAGCAAUAAAAGUUUGGGCACCAGUAGUGAGUCUGCCAGCUACACUUCGAGUAGCUCUGCCCGAGGGGAAUUCUUGCACAUACUCUAUGGGAGACAUGUACAAGAAUGUGUGUAAUAGCCUUGUUUAUAAUAGCUAAAAAAGGAAACAACCCAGAUAUUCAUAAGUAAUAGAAUAAACAAGUAAUUUUGGCAUAAUGGAAUCCCAUAAAGCAAAGAAACCAAAUAAACUACAGCUAUACCCAUCGACAUGAACAAAUUCCAAAAAUACUGUUGAGCAAAGACAGCAUGUUAAGAAGGUUACAAUGAGCAUGGCUUUGUCGCGUGAAAUUCACAAAAGGCACCACUAAGCAGUAUAUUGGUUAGGGAUCCACAACAAAUGGAUUAAAACUAUAAAGGAAAGCCAGGGAGUGAGUAACACCCGUGUCAGGUCAGUGGCUUGCCCCAGGGUUUGGGAAGGGAGAGCAAGACAAUUGGGAAGGGUGAGCAUGGAGUGAGUUUCAAAGGUAUUGGCAAUAUUCAAUUCCUUAAGUUGGGUGGUGUGGACAUGGGUAUCUGGUUUUUAUUAUUGUUCUUUAAGCUGGACAUACACGUUAUGCACAUUCUUUUGUAAUAUGAUCUAUUUCACAAUGAAAAAAAAAUUUGUAAAGCAUAUAUAGCCAAAACCAAAGCUCCUUCACACCCCAAUAAAAGGUAGAGUUUGAUGUGGUUGAAGAGUCUGAGCCUCAAAGGAAUUAGGACUUCUCUGAAUGUGGUGCUGUACUGGUUUGGAAUAGCAUCCGGGAGAAAGGAGGAUGGCAAACCAUCCCACACGACCCCCUGGCCAGGGCAUCAGCAACUGGACUGAGGGGUGCCCCGGUAUCCCCAGGACCUCCUGUUCCUAUGGCUCUGGGACCACAGCGUGCCCACUUUAUGUCCCUUUCUUCCUGCACCACAAUCCUCAGGGGUUGGCUGGUUUUUCAGAGUCACCACCGUGUACUUUAUUUCUCGCAGCUUUCCCACGGCUGCCUGCUGAGUAGAAAGCAAUCAUCCUAACUCUUCAUGUUUUUGACCCCCAAAGCAAGUGCCCCAGCCCAUUUGGAGUCAAAAAUGUGAAAGCAUUUUGGACCACAUCCAAAAUCUGGUCACUCACCAUGUGAUUACCUUUUUAGGGAAGGCUUAUCAUUUGCCUGCUGAAGUUUACUUUAAAUUCUGACUGUUUUGCAAACACAUUCUUUGUUGACAGCUCUAGUUGGAAAUGUUUGGGCUCACCGUGUUCUGGGUAAAACACAUUGUCAAGUCUUUUUUUAACCUCUCACGUUAGAUGGUUUUUCUUGGCCUGCAUUUCAGCAUCCAUUAACCUUAGUGUCGUAAGAGCUUGGAGUGAGAAGGAACCUUGGAAGCCACCCAUCCAACUUCCCACCCAGUGGGAGAAUUGUUAUGAAGCUUGCCUGAUCACAGCCUCAGAUAGCUUGCUUUUUAAGGGCAUUGCUGUACGGACACAGAGUACCAUACUUUACCAAUUCCACAUAACAUUUUGCAUACAUUUUCAUGAAUCUUGGAGAAUCAGAAAACAGUGUGAGCAAUUCCAAGUUUGCUAAUUAAAUUAAAAUGAGCACAGACUCUUAUAAAACAGGUUUUAGAGUUACAGGAGGCCUUACGUGGUCAAAGACAUUUUUCACCUACUUAAAAUAAUCCUAUCCUGGUUAGGAGGGACAGAGAGACAAGGGAGUUGGACACAUCACAUGCUUGGAAGGAGAAACAGAGAAGGAUUGCUUGGCAGUCCUGUGUGUACAUUUUCUUCUGUCCCUUUGUUAUGACUUUCUUGCUUCCUUAAAGGAACAGAGAUGGCUGGGCGCCGUGGCUCACACCUGUAAUCCCAGCACUUCGGGAGGCCGAGGUGGGCGGAUUAUGAGGUCAGGAGAUUGAGAUCAGCCUGACCAACAUGGUGAAACACUGUCUCUACUAAAAAUACAAAAAUUGGCCAGGUGUGGUGGUGGGCGCCUGUAAUCCCAGCUACUCAGGAGGCUGAGCAGCAGAAUCACUUGAACCCAGGAAGUGGAGGUUGCAGUGAGCUGAGAUGGCACCACUGUACUCCAGCCUGGGCAACAGAGUGAGAUAGUCUCAAAAAAAAGAAAAAAGAAAAAGAAAAAUGGUACAGGAAUGAAGAAUGUAGACAUCACCCUGCUGCAGGGCACAGGACUGGCCUGUCAUCCUCUCACUGCCACCCUCUGUCUUCCCACCUAAUGGUCACUGGAUGCCUUUUCCCAUUAGUCUGGGCCCACCCCAGUUUCUGAGCCCACCGAGAGAUGGUGCAAUGUGUGUUAAUAGUUGCCCCUUCCACAUGUCUCCCCACCUUUUGUUCUGCUCCAGUAGAACUUGGAGCCAAUUGGUGAUACCAGCUGCCAUGGUGGUUAAGUGGGCUUGAGCCUUGAGCCACGCUGGGACCUUGGUGGCACAGGCCCCUCAAAGUGAGGGGAGGAAUCCAGCCUGGGAAAGACUGAAGUUAACCCAUCGGAACAGCAGGGUCAUUCUGUGCCUAACCCCUCUCUCAUGCAAGCUGAGGAGAGUUUCUGGGUUAAAGAAGGUAGCUGAAGAUUUUUUUUUUUUUUUUUUUUUAAGUUAGGGGUAGGAAGCUCAAGCAGGGGUAAGGCGGGAACAAUGAAAGGUGCUGACCCAGCCUGGACACACAGGUGCAAGGUCCCGGGGGCAUGUGAAGUUCAGGUAAGCUUAAGUAAUGGUUGUGAGAAGGCCUAGUUGGUGGCACAGGGCCUGGUGGACUCUUCACAGCAUGAUACCCCUGUCGGAGCCUAU
rnacentral:lncRNA from 1 species